GGAAGAAGAAAGAGAUAUGAGGAGAAUAGUAUAUGAGGCAGGUGAGUAAAGAUGAGUGGAACAGAGGGUAAAAAGCAUUAGUAUUUAGAAGGCAGAAGAAAAAAAGGGAAGAGAUUGAGGAAGGAUUAGCGAUAUAUGACGAAAGAAUGAAAUAAAAGAGGAAGAAGAAAGAGAUAUGAGGAGAAUAGUAUAUGAGGCAGGGGGAUAAAGAUGACAGGAACAGUAAUAGAGUAAGAAGUUUUAAUAUUCAGUUGGAAGAAGAAAAGAAAGGGAAGAGAUUGAGGAUGGAUUAGCGAUAUAUGAUCAAAGAAGUAAAAAAAAAGGAAGAAGAAAGAGAUAUGAGGAGAAUGGGAUAUGAGGCAGGUGAGGAAGGAUUAGAGGAACAGAGGGUAAAAAGCAUUAGUAUUUAGAAGGAAAAAGAAGAAAAAGAGAUUGAGGAAGGAUUAGCGAUAUAUGACGAAAGAAGGAAAUAAAAGAGGUAGAAAAGAGAGAUAUGAAUAGAAUGGUAUAUGAAGCAGGUGGAUAACGAUGAGAGCAACAGUAAUAGAGUAGGAAGCAAUUUAGUAUUCAUUAAGGAAGAAGAAAGGAAAAAGAAGAGAUUGAGAUUGGAGUGUUAGGUGAGUUAGGAAGAAAACACAUAUGAUGAAAGAAGAAAAAGAUGAAGAAAGACAUGUGAAAAGAAAGAGAUAUGGAAGAAUAGAAGAAAGAGAAGAGAUUGAGGUUGGAGUGUCAGGUGAGUUAGGAAGAAAAAGCGAUAUAUGAUGAAAGAAAGGAGAAAAAAAAGGAGGAAGGAGAAAGAUAUGAGAAGAAUGGCGUAUGAGGCAGGUGGGUUGAGAUGAGUGUGCAAAAGGAAUGCAAAAGGAAAGUAAUAGAAUCCUGGAGAAAAGGAAAAAAUGGGGAGAAGCGAGAGAGAAAGAAGGAAUGCCAAUAAAUCAUAUGAGAAUGAAAAUGGAAGAAGUUCGUAGAUUAAGGAGAGGAAUGAGAUGAAAAAAUGGAAAAAAUGAAAAAGGGAAGAAGAAUGUUAGAAAAGAAUGAAGGAAAUACAAGGAGAGAAGUGGAGAGAAAGAAGUUAUACCAAUAAGUCCUAAAUAAAAAAGAAAAUGAAAGUAAGAAGUUCGAAGAUUAAGAAAGAGAGGAAUGAGAUGAGAAAUGAAAUAUAAAAAAAAGAAAAAAAAGAAAGAUGGAAGUAAGAAUUUUGAAGAUUAAGAAGAGGAACGAGAAGAGAAAUAAAAUAUGGAAAAGAAAAAAAAAGGAAACAAAGAAAAUGGAAGUUAGAAUUUUGAAGAUUAAGAAGGGGAAUAAUAAGAGAAAUAAAAUAUGGAAAAGGAAAGAAAGAAAAAGAAAAUGGAAAUUAGAAUUUGAAGAUUAAGAAUAGGAACGAUAGAAAUAAUAGAAUAUGGAAAAGGAAAAAAAGGAAAGAAAGAAAGUGGAAGUUAGAAUUUUGAAGAUUAAGAAGAGGAACGAUAGAAAAAAUUAAAUAUGAAAAGGAAAAAAAGGAAAGAAAGAAAAUAGAAGCAAGAAGUUAAAAGAUUAAGGAGAGAAAUGAGGAGAUGAAAAAAAUGAAAAUGAAAAAAAGAAAAAGGAAAGUAAAAUGUUAAAGAAAAGAUGAAAAAAAAUGAAAUAUGGAAAUUGGAAAAGAAAAGAAGGAAAAUUGAAGCAAAAAGUUAGAAGAUAAGGAGAGGAAUGAGAUAAAAAAAUGGAAAAUGAAAAAAAAGAAAAAGGAAAGUAAAAUGUUAAAGAAAAGAUGGAAAAAAAUGAAAUAUGGAAAUUGGAAAAGAAAAGAAGGAAAAUUGAAGCAAAAAGUUAGAAGAUAAGGAGAGGAAUGAGAUAAAAAAAUGGAAAAUGAAAAAAAAAGAAAAAGGAUAGUAAAAUGUUAAAGAAAAGAUGGAAAAAAAUGGAAUAUGGAAAAUGGAAAAGAAAAGAAGGAAAAUUGAAGCAAAAAGUUAGAAGAUAAGGAGAGGAAUGAGAUGAAAAAAUAUAAGAUGAAAAAAAAAGAAAAAGGAAAGUAAAAUGUCAAAGAAAAGAUGAAAAAAAAUGAAAUAUGGAAAUUGGAAAAGAAAAGAAGGAAAAUUGAAGCAAAAAGUUAGAAGAAAAGGAGAGGAAUGAGAUGAGAAAAUGGAAAAUGAAAAAAAAAGAAAAAGGAUAGUAAAAUGUUAAAGAAAAGAUGGAAAAAAUGAAAUAUGGAAAAUGGAAAAGAAAAGAAGGAAAAUUGAAGCAAAAAGUUAGAAGAUAAGGAGAGGAAUGAGAUGAAAAAAUGGAAAAUGAAAAAAAAAGGAAAAGGAAAGUAAAA